rnacentral:lncRNA from 1 species
UGGGUGUCCUACUAUACAGAUACAGCCCUACAGAUAUCGCUAUGCUAUAUCUGUAUACUAUACAGAUAUCGCUUUAAAGCUCCGCCCACUGCCGGAAUGAGUAUUGUUUGAACCUGUGUGACCUCAGAAUGUGUAUUCCAGUUGUAUUCCAAUGACGAUGACAAUUGUCGAUUUCAAAACUUGAAUGUGUAUGAUUGUGUUACAAAAUCAACCAUGUCAAUUUCAGCAUGCAUGUUUAGUGAAAGUCAAGUCUGAAGCGUAGGACAACUCGUACACUUCUGUUUCAAAUUUGACAAUGUUUUGUUAUUUAUUUUUACUGUUGAAAUUAGUUGUUAUGUUAAAAUAGAUAAUUAUUCACAUUGAGCGAUGUAUUAUUGAUGACCAUUCGAGAUUCUUUUUUUGCGAAACC